CAAUGGGCGGGAGCCUGAACCAGCCAAGUCGCGUGAGGGAAGAAGGUGCUGAGCAUUGUAAACCUCUUUUGCCGGGGAACAAACGCCGUCACGAGCUGGCGGUUUGAGUGUACCCGGAAGAAAAAGCAUCGGCUAACUCCGUGCC
rnacentral:rRNA from 1 species